GGCUCCGUGGCUUAAUGGUUACGGCUUCUGCCUCACAAGCAGAAGGUUCAGGGAUCAAAAAAUCCCGGCCGGUACCU
rnacentral:tRNA from 1 species